rnacentral:lncRNA from 1 species
GGUUAUCACCCGGGUCCUACCCGGGUUGGAGAAAACUAUUAAGAUAAAUAUCAAGUGUACAAAUAAAAUAAAAUACAAAGUCUCAUGUUACAUAAAUUAGUGAUACAGUGGAUACACAGUACAUGGUAACCGGAUCUUGUGCAACUGCCAACUGGAGCAUAUCAUAUCUCAUAUCCCUGACCAUCUGCCACCAAAUGGAGCAUAUCAUAUGCCAACUGGUUUAGGACUGCGGUUUUCAGCUCCACUCUCUCCUGAAAGGUAACCUCGAUCAAAAUAAAAUAAAUUAAAAUAAAAAAUGCCGCAUUGAAAGAAUGCCAUACCUCUACCGAAUCAAGACAUGGCAUGGGAGCUUUUUCUCCAAGAACACUGAUAACUCUAAGAGAUCGUUUUGCGUAUUUUGACUCUGUGAUAUAAGUUGUUAGAAAAAAUUAAGAUUAAAUGGCGUAAAGUAAAAAAA